GAUGAAGAACGCAGCGAAAUGCGAUACGUAAUGUGAAUUGCAGAAUUCAGUGAAUCAUCGAAUCUUUGAACGCACAUUGCGCUCUCUGGUAUUCCGGAGAGCAUGCUUGUUUGAGUAUCAGUAAACACCUCAACUCCUUUAUUGUAGUUGGACUUGAGCUAUCCCAACAGGACUUUUUGUUCCUGGCGGGAGGCUUGAAAUGCAGGUGCAGCUGGACUUUCUUCUGAGCUAUAAGCAUAUUUAUUUAAUCCCUUAACACGGAUUAUUACUUUUUUGCUGCAGCUAACCUAAAGGUUGAAUUUCCAUUGAGCUGACUGAUGCAGGAAUUUGGCAAGGAAUUUUUUUAAUGACUUGUUAAACUCGAUCUCAAAUCAAGUAAGACUACCCGCUGAACUUAAGCAUAUCAAUAAGCGGAGGA
rnacentral:misc_RNA from 1 species